rnacentral:lncRNA from 1 species
CCUGAACAAGGCAACAUAACAUUCUGUAGAAGGCUGUGAAGCUGUGGGCUGUUGGCCAUAGGCCUGCAACUGCUCAGGGACUACUUGGGUAUCAGUCAGCAUGUUAAGAAAUUGUGUUGCGAGCAGGACAUCAGUGGUUUUCAUCCCUCAUCCCACCUGGGGAGGAGUGAGCAAACAACUGUGUGGUGCUCAACUGCCUGCCAGGUAAAACGACAGCAGAG